CAAACUGAAGAUGGCGACCGGCGCACGGGUGAGUAACACGUAUCCAACCUGCCGAUAACUCCGGAAUAGCCUUUCGAAAGAAAGAUUAAUACCGGAUAGUAUACGAAUAUCGCAUGAUAUUUUUAUUAAAGAAUUUCGGUUAUCGAUGGGGAUGCGUUCCAUUAGUUUGUUGGCGGGGUAACGGCCCACCAAAACUACGAUGGAUAGGGGUUCUGAGAGGAAGGUCCCCCACAUUGGAACUGAGACACGGUCCAA
rnacentral:rRNA from 1 species